AGGAUUAACGCUGGCGGCGUGCAUGAAACAUGCAAGUCGAGCGCGGUGUGAUGCGGGGUAACCCAAUUCACAUCUAGCGGCGAACGGGUGAGUAACACGUGAGCAACCUACCUUUGAGUUGGGGAUAGCCCUGGGAAACCAGGAUUAAUACCCGAUGUGGUCACAACAGGACAUCCUGAUGUGAGUAAAGGCGUAAGCCGCUCAAUGACGGGCUCGCGGCCUAUUAGCUUGUUGGUGGGGUAACGGCCUACCAAGGCGAUGAUGGGUAGCUGGUCUGAGAGGACGAUCAGCCACACUGGGACUGAGACACGGCCCAGACUCCUACGGGAGGCAGCAGUUAGGAAUUUUCCGCAAUGGGCGAAAGCCUGACGGAGCAACGCCGCGUGAGUGAUGAAGACCUUCGGGUUGUAAAGCUCUGUCGGAGGGAAGAACACAAUGACGGUACCUCCAAGAAAGCCCGGCUAACUACGUGCCAGCAGCCGC
rnacentral:rRNA from 1 species